rnacentral:misc_RNA from 1 species
AAGCACGUUGUCAGCAAUAACAACCCAAGAUUACUGACUAACCUACUAUAAAUAGAACUUUUACGCAUGCUGUCAAGGUUUAGUAUAUAAGGUAAGUCUUAUUAGUCACAGUUACACAGGUAUAAAGUCAGGCUUCACCAUGGCAGAAGCAAACAGUCCGUCUACCUCUGAUUGUGAAAACACCGAAGUUCCACAGGAAGAUUCCACAACAAUGGCUGAGACAAAUUGUCCGACUGGCAUGGACCGAUUUCUGCAGAAAACCAGAAGCGACCUCAUGUACGAGCUCAGACAGAUUCAACAUGGAGAGCGCCCAGUCAGUGGCCAGAAUCGGCGAGAAAACAUCAACCAGUUUUUCGCCAAGCACCUUGAGGCACCUGCUGGGAGUGAAGGGAAAGAAAACGUCCCCGCCAAUGUUGACGCUGUUGAAGAGCACAGACCAGAGUCAGUCGUCGUUGAAGUUGAGGGUUUGUUCGAACAACGGCGCGUGUCGUCAGUGUUGCAGUCAACAGCAUUCAGGCGAUCUUUGGAAAGAAUAAUUCGAGGGAGCAUCACAACAGCAUCCCAAAGACCCCAAGCCACCCCAUCUCGUUCUGCCACCCCCUCUCGUUCUGCCACCCCCUCUCAUCUCCCCCCACAUCGUAGAACAAGCAGGGGACAAGAACAGAGUUCAGAGAACGGUCCAUCUACAGCAUCUACAGAUCAGGAUUCAAGAGUUCCAUCACCUCCCGAGAUGAGGCUUACACCCCCCGCUGCCUCACCAACCAGCCAGCCGACGGGCAUUGUUGCUCCUAAUGAGAUGCCCACAUGGCAGAGUAUCUCGGAGAUCCAUCAUGAAGAGAUCGUCCAGGAGAUCAGUCAGCUCCUUCAUAGACGACUUGUGUCCUCGACACUGGAUGGGGAGUUCCGUGGAACUCUGGAAGUGCAAAUGCAGAACCACGUGGAUUCAUCGGGAGGAAAUGGGGAGGCCGUGGCCCAGGCCGUCCGCAGUCUGCCCAACCCCGGUGUCAUCCGCAAUGACUUCAGCCAUCUUGGUCUUGGGCAGGAUUUGUUUGAGGACAACAUUUCCGUCACCAGCAUCAGUGCCACGGCUGUUCCAUACACACAGAGCAACCUACAUCUAAGCAGAGAGAUCUCAAGUCUCAAGUCUCAGAUGGAGGAGAUGAAAAACAUGCUGAAACUCUCCUUUGACCUUCAACUUGACAUACAGAGGGCAAUCAGACAGGAAGUCGCUGCUGCUGUAUCCCAGGCAACAGCAGGAGCUACAGCUGCCCCCCCUGCAACAGCCACACUGUCCCACCCCGUCAGUGACACCCACUGUUUGAUCUGCCUGGAGAACCACAGCGAUACUGUACUCUACCAGUGUGGACACAUGUGCCUGUGUUACGCCUGUGGUAAACAUCUGAUGUCCCAGAGCGGCAAGUGCCCCGUGUGCCGAGCACCAAUCAAAGACAUCAUCCGCGCUUACAAGUGCAACACUGAGUGAAACUGACGUUCUUUUUUACUGGAACCUUGUCAAGCGAACAUUUCAGAAUACAGAAUAUCGCUGUUUGAACAAAUAUUUAGCCCACCUGAGCUAAUGACAUGGCAUAUCAUCGAUUUUUAACUUGCGUAAAGCUUACGAUACCCAAACUUAAAUUGGAUGAUUCAAAUAUGGUGGCUACCUAAUUCUGAUUCAAGUUAAGACAUGACCAGUCUUUUGUUGCCUAGUCUGGUUAACAGCUUGUCCACAUACUCCAACUAAAUUUCCUUUUGUUGCAUGAUUCAUGUUGCUUUUAAGCUCAUAUUCACUGGAUACAUUUUCUUUUGUAAAUACUCACCCCAGUCAAUUCAUCAACAAGAUCAUCAAAGAAUUACCUUCAUCAAGUUUUGAAGAUCAGAUGGUAACAGAAUCCCAGUACAUGCUGUUGGUCUUGACUGUGUUGGUCUUAGCAGGUCAGAUAACCCCUGACUGUGUUGGUCUUAUCAGGUCAGAUAACCCCUGACUGUGUUGGUCUUAUCAGGUCAGAUAACCCCUGACUGUGUUGGUCUUAUCAGGUCAGAUAACCCCUGACUGUGUUGGUCUUAUCAGGUCAGAUAACCCCUGACUGUGUUGGUCUUAUCAGGUCAGAUAACCCCUGACUGUGUUGGUCUUAUCAGGUCAUAACCCCUGACUGUGUUGGUCUUAGCAGGUCAGAUAACCCCUGACUGUGUUGGUCUUAUCAGGUCAGAUAACCCCUGACUGUGUUGGUCUUAGCAGGUCAGAUAACCCCUGACUGUGUUGGUCUUAUCAGGUCAGAUAACCCCUGACUGUGUUGGUCUUAGCAGGUCAGAUAACCCCUGACUGUGUUGGUCUUAGCAGGUCAGAUAACCCCUGACUGUGUUGGUCUUAGCAGGUCCAGAUAACCCCUGACAGUGUUGGUCAUUGUCCAUGCUUUCAGACACUAGUUUUCCUGGUCGGGACACUUUUUUAUAUUCGGCAAUCAUAUAGCUCGGACAGUGCUGCCUGGUGAUAUAGUACAUUAACUCACUCACUCUACUAUAGCUCAACCAAGUGCAGACCAGCAGGUCAGUGUUUAAAAUGGUGAUAUUCUGCUGCUCAAGUCAAGAGAUAGCUGGCUAUCGUGACAUUUUUGUAAAUAAUCACACAAGUUGUCAUUUAUUUGUUUUAUGUAUAUAUAUGUACAUUUAUAUUUCUCACAAUAAAGUCACAUUCUAUAA